rnacentral:lncRNA from 1 species
UUUAUGACGUCAGUAGCGGAAGUGGGAUGCGGUUGGCUUCCGUUUCCUUUUCUGUUGGUUUAUCUUUGGAUCUCUCUCCAUGAAGGGUCCUGGCAUCCAUCUUCACAGGGAUACAUACUACCGAGCGAGCAGUUUCUCAAUGCUUGCUCAUUUCUCACCUGUCACUUCUUCCUUAGCUAAACUUACAGUGUAGGGCAAAGAUUGCUGAGCUAGGCAUUUGCCGUACAAUCCAGGGGUUGCCUCAGCUCUCAUUUAUCCUGACAAUGCCACUCAACACAGGGCCUGGCUCAUUUACCCUGUGAAUCUGUCAGCCAUCCCUUAGCUAGACCCAGGUACAGAGGGAUCCCUUGUCCCUGCUCCUUAUAGAAAACUCUUCUGUUCUAUUCACAAUAGCUAGAAAAUAGAAACAACCUAAAUAUUCUUCAACCAGCAAAUGGCUAAUGACAACGUGGUCCACAUACACUGUGGAACACUAAUCAGCUGUAAAGAAAAAAAAAAUGAAAUCAUGAACUUGCAGGUUCCUACCUUCAAAUAUUCAGAGGUGAGCACAGAGCCAGUAGGAACUGCAGAAACCAGGAAGUAAACAGGACCAUUGUCCAAGUCAAAGUUAAGGUAGGGGACUGACGGAGUCCAAUCCCAAUGGAUAUAUCUACAAAACAGUUCUCCUACCUAAGGCUCCAAGAUCAUUGCAGAAGAGGGGCGGAAAGACUGUAAGAGCCAGAGCGUCAGGGAGUUGCUGUGAAACUGCCUCCUAGUAAUGGCAAAAGCUACAUGGACGGUGUACAUCUCACUAACUUGACUGCCUAAGCAAGAACUGAACAAGGCCAAUGGCAGUAGACGCCAAAGUGGACGGUGGAAAGCCUAUAUGAUCGCAACCCUAAACAGAGAACUCUUGGCGACUAGCUGAGGGUGGAGAAAUAGUCUCCCCUAGAGGAGAGCAUGCCAAUCGCUUACCCAAUACUAAAUGGUAAACACUGAAAACGCACACAUCAGUAACAUUAUAUAGACUGAGCAGAUUCUAUAUUCUAUAUGUAGGAGCAUGUGUGCGUGCGUGUGUGUGUGUGUGUGUGUGUGUGUGUGUGUGUGUGUGUGUGUGUGUGUAAAACAAUAGUUAUUGAAGAAAGAACAUGAAUUUGAAGAAGAACAAGGAGGAGCACCUAGGAGGUUUGGAAGGAGGAGGGGGAAGGGAAUAUGGUUUAAUUAUAAUCUCAAAAACUAAGAGAAAUACUUAAAAAAAAAAAACAGCUCUUCUCUCUGGAUUUCUGGUCAUCAAGGCUCUCUUGCACAAACAGCAGCUCUCCAUAAGUCAUACAGAAAACUGUCCUUUUCAAUGUUUUUUGCUUUUUCCCUGGGGGUGACGAUCCUUCACAUUCUCCUGUUUCCCCCAAAGCAGGAACGCCCCUGAAGACUGAGUUAUUAACCAUUGUUUUACACCUAUUCCCAUCCACAAAAACAUAAACCAUCCGCAGCUCCUAUUUGGGCAAGAGAGUAAAGAAAUAAAAUGGAGUCACAAAAGAAGGUUGAAGGGCUAGAAGAUUCAUAUUAAGACAAAUUAAGUUUUGAUAGAUAUUACUUUAAGCAUGAACAAAAGGCAGUACAAUAAUUAUUUUAAACUAAUUAUUCAGAGGAUCCUUUCAGCCUCCCAAAUAUUCAUUUAUUCAUGGGAGCGAUCCCACCCAAGCUCUCCACGGGCCUGCUGAGUCAUUAUCUUUCUGCAAUAUUCUAAUUAGCUCUAUUCAACAAUAAGUUAACUGGCAGAGGGCACUAAUAGGCUCCUUAAUGUAGAAAAAUGGUUUAUAUAAAUUUCAAACUAGUUUCUAAAUUUUUUCUUCUUUCCAAUUGGGAUUCUGGUGACAAGCUACAAUAAAAUCCUCUAAAUGUUAUUUAUUUAUUUAUUUAUUUAUUUAUUUAUUUAUUUAUUUAUUUAUUUGUGUGUGUGUGUAUGAGACAAGUGAGGCAUGUGGAGGUCAGAGGACAACGUGCAGGGCUAGGU